GCGUCUCGACAGGAUGGUGGCCACGUCGUUUCCCACGGGCUCCCUCUUGGCCUGCUGCUCCUGCUGCUCCUGCACCUUCUUCAGCUGGAUGCCUGUGGGAGAGCAAGGAGCGUGAAUCCAGCAUCUUCUCCUUCCACAGGUCAAAGAAGUACGACGGAUCGGUGUAGAAUUUAAGCGCUUCCUUGUGGUCGUCUCUACAGGAACAGGAAGCCAACAGGAUUUGGAACGCUGCUCUUCGAUACCACCUGCUGGUCCUGGACGGUAGAGCUCUUGAAGGCUUUCCUCAUGUUAAUAUCCUGCAGGGAAACUGGCAGCACAAAAAGAGGAAGAGAAUCGAAUGAACGAUGGGU